rnacentral:tRNA from 1 species
UGGGGCAUAGCCAAGCGGUAAGGCAGCGGGUUUUGAUCCCGCCAUUCCCAGGUUCAAAUCCUGGUGCCCCAG